rnacentral:tRNA from 1 species
AAAAAAUUAGUUAAAUUAUAUAACAUUAACUUGUCAAGUUAAAAUUAUUUAAAUAAAUAUUUUUUA